GACGAACCGUGCGAACGUUGUUCGGAAUCACUGGGCUUAAAGGGCGCGUAGGCGGGCCAUAAAGUCAGGGGUGAAAUCCUCCAGCUUAACUGGAGAACUGCCUUUGAUACUGAUGGUCUCGAGUAAGGUAGGGGCAUGCGGAACUGAUGGUGGAGCGGUGAAAUGUGUUGAUAUCAUCAGGAACUCCGGUGGCGAAGGCGGCAUGCUGGACCUUCACUGACGCUGAGGCGCGAAAGCGUGGGGAGCGAACAGG
rnacentral:rRNA from 1 species